rnacentral:rRNA from 1 species
AUUGAACGCUGGCGGCAUGCCUUACACAUGCAAGUCGAACGGCAGCACGGGAGCAAUCCUGGUGGCGAGUGGCGAACGGGUGAGUAAAGUAUCGGAACGUGCCCAGUCGUGGGGGAUAACGUAGCGAAAGUUACGCUAAUACCGCAUACGAUCUAUGGAUGAAAGCGGGGGAUCGCAAGACCUCGCGCGAUUGGAGCGGCCGAUAUCAGAUUAGGGAGUUGGUGGGGGAAAGGCUCACCAAGCCGACGAUCUGUAGCUGGUCUGAGAGGACAACCAGCCACACUGGGACUGAGACACGGCCCAGACUCCUACGGGAGGCAGCAGUGGGGAAUUUUGGACAAUGGGCGAAAGCCUGAUCCAGCCAUGCCGCGUGCAGGAUGAAGGCCUUCGGGUUGUAAACUGCUUUUGUACGGAACGAAAAGGUUUGGCCUAAUAAGCUGAGCUCAUGACGGUACCGUAAGAAUAAGCACCGGCUAACUACGUGCCAGCAGCCGCCGUAA